ACAGUUCAGUGGGUAGAGUAUGAGACUCUUAAUCUCAGGGUUUUGGGUUCAAUCCCCACGUUCGGCA